ensembl:snRNA U6 U6 spliceosomal RNA
UUGCUUCAGAAGCAUAUAUAUUAAAAUUGGAAUGAUACAGAGAAAAUUGGCAUAGCCCCUGGGCAAGGAUGAUAUGCAAGUUCAUGAUAAUUCCAUCUUUUUA